AACCAACAGGGAUUGCCUCAGUAACGGCGAGUGAAGCGGCAACAGCUCAAAUUUGAAAUCUGGCUCUUUCAGGGUCCGAGUUGUAAUUUGUAGAAGAUGCUUCGGGUGUGGCUCCGGUCUAAGUUCCUUGGAACAGGACGUCAUAGAGGGUGAGAAUCCCGUAUGUGACUGGGUGCCUUCGCUCAUGUGAAGCUCUUUCGACGAGUCGAGUUGUUUGGGAAUGCAGCUCAAAAUGGGUGGUAAAUUUCAUCUAAAGCUAAAUAUUGGCCAGAGACCGAUAGCGCACAAGUAGAGUGAUCGAAAGAUGAAAAGCACUUUGGAAAGAGAGUUAAACAGUACGUGAAAUUGUUGAAAGGGAAGCGCUUGCAACCAGACUUGCACGCGGUUGAUCAUCCGGUGUUCUCACCGGUGCACUCUGCCGCGUUCAGGCCAGCAUCGGUUUUGGUGGUUGGAUAAAGGCCUAGGGAAUGUAGCUUCUUUCGGGGAGUGUUAUAGCCCUAGGUGCAAUGCAGCCUACUAGGACCGAGGACCGCGCUUCGGCUAGGAUGCUGGCGUAAUGGUUGUAAGCGACCCGUCUUGAAACACGGACCAAGGAGUCUAACAUCUAUGCGAGUGUUUGGGUGUCAAACCCAUACGCGUAAUGAAAGUGAACGGAGGUGAGAACCCUUAAGGGUGCAUCAUCGACCGAUCCUGAUGUCUUCGGAUGGAUUUGAGUAAGAGCAUAGCUGUUGGGACCCGAAAGAUGGUGAACUAUGCGUGAAUAGGGUGAAGCCAGAGGAAACUCUGGUGGAGGCUCGCAGCGGUUCUGACGUGCAAAUCGAUCGUCAAAUUUGCGCAUAGGGGCGAAAGACUAAUCGAACCAUCUAGUAGCUGGUUCCUGCCGA
rnacentral:rRNA from 1 species